UACGUAGGGGGCAAGCGUUGUCCGGAAUCAUUGGGCGUAAAGAGCGCGUAGGCGGUCCGAUAAGUCGGUUGUGAAAACUGGGGGCUCAACCCUCAGAGGCCGACCGAUACUGUCGGGCUAGAGUCCGGAAGAGGCGAGUGGAAUUCCUGGUGUAGCGGUGAAAUGCGCAGAUAUCAGGAGGAACACCAAUGGCGAAGGCAGCUCGCUGGGACGGUACUGACGCUGAGACGCGAAAGCGUGGGGAGCAAACAGG
rnacentral:rRNA from 1 species